CCAUCUAAAAGAUAGCCCCCAGGAAAUGUGAACUACGAUGCCAAAAAUUCAAUAUGGCGUCUGUUAUAAGACUGGUGCGUGUAUAUGUUACUUAUGUUCGCUGAACGCAGCCAACUAUAUUUCUAUAAUAAAUAUUUGAACGUUGUUUAACACUUCUCGUAAUUAAAGGAAUUUUUUUUGUGUGGUCAUCGUCGCUCGCUCCAAACUACCAUAUAUACGGUGAAGCGUACGUUGCGUCAUAGAUUUUAAAAGAACGUCCCUCUAAGAUAUUUGAGCAUAGAUAUGGGGAGGACAUGUUGUGUUCCUGGAUGCAAGUCUGGGAAAGAAGUGCCUUCACAUCGAUUUCCCAAAGAUCCUGAAAGAUGCUUAAAAUGGCAUUUCUGCACCUAUAAACUUCUGCUGUACUCCUCGUCAAUUCCAGUGACCUCUGAACUGCACUGCAGUUCAAGUGCAACACCAGUUCAGCUGAAAAGAACAAACCCAUGAUCACGUGUGAAGCAGAUAUAAAUAACAGUAUAAUAUUUAGUGCUCAACAAAAAAUAUUAAUAAACAUCA